rnacentral:rRNA from 1 species
AACGAACGCUGGCGGCAGGCUUAACACAUGCAAGUCGAACGAGAUCUUCGGAUCUAGUGGCAGACGGGUGAGGAACACGUGGGAACAUCCCUUUCAGUUCGGAAUAACGUUGGGAAACUAACGCUAAUACCGGAUACGUCCUUCGGGAGAAAGAUUUAUCGCUGAAAGAUUGGCCCGCGUCUGAUUAGCUAGUUGGUGAGGUAAUGGCUCACCAAGGCUACGAUCAGUAGCUGAUCUGAGAGGAUGAUCAGCAACAUUGGGACUGAUACACGGCCCUAACUCCUACGGUAGGCAGCAGUUGGGAAUAUUGGACAAUGGGCGCAAGCCUGAUCCAGCCAUGCCGCGUGAGUGAUGACGGCCUUCGGGUUGUAAAGCUCUUUUGUCCGGGAAGAUAAUGACUGUACCGGAAGAAUAAGCCCCGGCAAACUUCGUGCCAGCCGCCGCGGUAA